GCUACAUCCUCUCGAGGAGCCAAGUGUACAUCUUUGAUAACACCACGGCCUGGGUGGAGGCACGAUGGGGGAACCAGGUCCGCAGGACCCCCAACCACACCCUGCACCUCAACGGGGCUGGUGAGUGCCCCAGGGGCAGGGCUGGCAGCCAGUGCUGGCACUGAAAACUGCCAAAACCACCCAAAACCGCCUCAUCUUUCCAGUCAAACUGGAUCCACUCACUGGGAUGUCCUUCUCCGAGAGCAGUGGCCAGCUGAGGGUGAGGGUGCCACAGCCACAGUGUGACAGCCUGAAGCAGCCACCACAGCACGAGGCUCGCUUCUGGAGGGUGGGAGACAGCGGCUGGACACAGGUGACAUGUGAGACAGUGCUGGUGACAACUAAAGAAAACUCAGGUUGGUUUAUCCUGUGGGGUUGUUGGGGACAAACAUCUCCUGGGGGUGUUACCAGCAGCCUGUGAAGGCCAAAAGUUGGGGAAAGGAGGGUUCAGCUGACCCUGCCACCCCUCUCCAGUGACCUGUGCCCUGGGGGUCAAUGGCACCUUCGUGGUCCAGCUCCGGCACAAGCCUCCCCACUGGAGCAGCCCCUGGAGCGACUGGAGCAGCAACAUCUCUGAGGGUGAGGAGGAGGAGAGGAGCCUGGUGGGAUCCCAGCAGCUCCCAGAAAUGCUGGUGGCUCAGUGAGGCCUGUUCCUCCUGCAGCAAUCCUGAGGAGGCCGGUGCUGAGCCAUCAGCUGGGCAAGCUGGGCACAGACGGGCAGCGGGCGCUGAGGCUGAGCUGGCAGCCAGUCCUCAUGGAGCACAAGGACGUCACCUACAAGCUGGACAUCACCAUGGUGGGGUGUGGCUGUGCAGAGUCCAUUGAGGAGGGCUCAGUGAAGCUGGGCAGGGAGGUGACAGAGCACAACCUCACCCUCUCCGGGGCCGAGUACCAGAUCCUGCUGAGCGCCAGCAACGCCGCGGGGCACGGGCCAGCACGGCAGCUCCGUGUGCCGGCAGGGCAGAGUGCAGGUACAGCGAUGCUGAGCUCCCCCGGCUGCCCUCAGGGCACUGUUUGUUCUUAACUGAAAUAAACAGGGCAGGAGGCUUUUGCUCCUUUUUAAU
rnacentral:lncRNA from 1 species